rnacentral:tRNA from 1 species
GCCGAGGUGGUGGAAUUGGUAGACACGCUACCUUGAGGUGGUAGUUUACGGGUUCAAGUCCCGUCCUCGGUACCA